GACGAACGCUGGCGGCGUGCUUAACACAUGCAAGUCGAACGGAAAGGCCCUGCUUUUGUGGGGUGCUCGAGUGGCGAACGGGUGAGUAACACGUGAGUAACCUGCCCUUGACUUUGGGAUAACUUCAGGAAACUGGGGCUAAUACCGGAUAGGAGCUCCUGCUGCAUGGUGGGGGUUGGAAAGUUUCGGCGGUUGGGGAUGGACUCGCGGCUUAUCAGCUUGUUGGUGGGGUAGUGGCUUACCAAGGCUUUGACGGGUAGCCGGCCUGGGAGGGUGACCGGCCACAUUGGGACUGAGAUACGGCCCAGCCUCCUACGGGAGGCAGCAGUGGGGAAUAUUGCACAAUGGGCGGAAGCCUGAUGCAGCAACGCCGCGUGCGGGAUGACGGCCUUCGGGUUGUAAACCGCUUUCGCCUGUGACGAAGCGUGAGUGACGGUAAUGGGUAAAGAAGCACCGGCUAACUACGUG
rnacentral:rRNA from 1 species